AUAACGGAACUAUAAAAAAAACUGUGAUGGUCUUACUAAAGUGAACUUGGGAUAUGAUUGCUCUCAUUCUAACGAUUUUAUUCCGUUUUCUUGACAACCAAAUCGGAAAGCAAUAUUAAUGAAUUGACAUUUUUGUCCUGGUGCCAAAUCCCAUCAUUGUAUGAAGAUUAAAGAAAACCUUUGAACAUGCGUGCUGUACAGUCCACACUUUAGAAAUGAUAAAUACCUUUUAAUUCGUUUGCUCUUUAUUUCCACCUCAAAUCACUACGUACGCAAACUCAAACGUUGAAAAAAUAUUGAUUUUCUAAAUUUGAUUUUAAUUCUCAUAUUGUAAAACACUGUCAGGAAAAA